GGGCUGUGUGCGCCUUGUGCAUGGCGCACAGUAGGCCUCUGUCACCAUGGUGACUGACAGACCCGAUGAAGCCUCUAGGCUCGCAGCGCAGGGCCGAGGUUCAAUCCUGUUCUGCCGUGUGCGGCUGGGUGACUCAGACACGUUCUGGAAACUUCGUCUCAGUUUCCUUGACUGUUAAAUGGGCUCGUCAAUCACGUCUACCUCGUGCCACAUCUGGAAAGAGCGCCACAGGGAAAGGAGCAGGCGUGGGCCCGGGCAACAGUGAAGGCCCCAUCAAAGCUCAUGCAGUUUCCAUGACCGCUGGGCUGAACUGUGAGGGUCACAACAGGAAUUCAGAGGACGGAGAGAGCGUCCAGAGGGCCCUUCCCGGGGCUGGGAGAAUCCAAGAGGGUGUCCGCUGAGCACUUCCUGUGUGCGGUGCACUGCCCUGACGGAACCUCCAGCCGCUCUAUAGGACGGGGACCGCGGCCAUCUCAUCAUGGUCCCAGGGGAGACAGGCACAGAGGCCAGAGAAUGUGCCAGAGCGUUUGCUGGUAAGUGAAUGGAGCUGGAGACCGC
rnacentral:lncRNA from 1 species